UUUUUUUUUUUUUUUUUUUUUUUUUUUUUUUUUUUUUUUUUUUUUGACAACCAAAUUCAAACCCAAGUCAAUUGUUCAAACAAACAAAAGGUCAACCAAACCAAAGAAAAAGAAACAAAACUCAAA
rnacentral:ribozyme from 1 species